rnacentral:rRNA from 1 species
UACGAAGGGGGCUAGCGUUGCUCGGAAUCACUGGGCGUAAAGCGCACGUAGGCGGGUCGUUAAGUCAGGGGGGAAAUCCUGGAGCUCAACUCCAGAACUGCCCUUGAUACUGGCGAUCUCGAGUUCGGGAGAGGUGAGUGGAACUGCGAGUGUAGAGGUGAAAUUCGUAGAUAUUCGCAAGAACACCAGUGGCGAAGGCGGCUCACUGGCCCGAUACUGACGCUGAGGUGCGAAAGCGUGGGGAGCAAACAGG